AAUCGUCCCGCUCAACGGGGCGGCGUGCAGGGUAGACUACAGGACUAGGGGCCGGGUGAGGUGGGCGGUAUUCCGUGGGGGGCGGUAAAAUGUGAUAAUCCUCGGAGGGCCGCCGGUGGCGGGGGCGGUUCACCGGGGUGGGUCCGGCGGUGAGGGAUGAAAGCUAGGGGAGCGAUCCGGAUUAGAUACCCGAGUAGUCCUAGCUGUAAACUCUGCGUGCCAGAUGUUGCGUAAUCUCCGAGAUUGCGCAGUGUCGUAACGAAGGUGUUAAGCACGCCACCUGGGAAGUACGGUCGCAAGGCUGAAACUUAAAGGAAUUGGCGGGGAGACACCACAACGGGUGCGGCGUGCGGCCUAAUCGUAUUCAACACCGAGAAUCUCACCAGGGGCGACGGCACAAUGACGCUCAGUCUGAAGGGCUUAGCUGAGGAGCCGAGAGGUGGUGCAUGGCCGCCGCCAGCUCGUGCCGUGAGGUGUCCUGUUAAGUCAGGCAACGAGCGAGACCUGUAUCC
rnacentral:rRNA from 1 species